UACCGUGGUUGGUUUUGUUGUGUUGGUCACUCCCUCUUUACACAACCUCCCUGUAAGAAAUCACUCUUUUCCAGUUGUUGUUGUGGUUGUAGUGAGAAAACAAGAGGUGGAAGACCAUGGAGAACAAGGUAUCUUGAAAAGUACAAUCGGACUCAUCUCAUGAAAUAUUCGAACUUACUGAUCCUUUGAAAUAUUCGUUUGAUAAGUUCUUAGUUACAGGAUCAUCGUCUUAAAUUCUUCGAUUGUAGUACCAUGUAUGUGAAACCAUAAACUUUUUUGAAUCGUGAAAACACCUUGUUUGUGCAAGUUGCGGUAUGUGGGGUCCCAACUCGACAAACACAAGUUGCGCUCUCACCUACCCCGACUUGACGCGAUGGAAGCAGCAACAGUAAAAACGGACGGAGUUCGGUAGGUGGUGUACACUAAAAGGGCCAUCGUGUUCCACUUUGUUGUCUCAUCCGUAGUCACUAACGGUAGAACCUCGUCUUCGAACGUUUAUUCAAUUUGGUCAUGCACGUACUUAUUUCUUUUCUCUUUUUUAUCUCAUUUCCUACUUGCGACGAUGACCCAUACCUUCUUAGAAAGAUCCGGUUCGUGACGUCGAGCAAUAUAUUGUUCGGUUGUGAGUGAAAACAUUAAGUGGGUUCCCAGUUUCCUUCCUCCGGUGCCAAGUUGUGGUAUAUACAACCGCAACUCGAGAUUGUUGAGUUGCGGUCGACAACUCGGAUAGUACACGCAAACGAGGUAUUUUUAUUAUUUACUACUACGUAGUGAUUAUACAGUACAAAUGUUGAGGAGUUAAUUUACUGGUAGAGAGGAAAUCUCUACUUUUCACGGUCUUGACCGGGAACAAACAAAAGUCCCCGAUUUAUACCGUUCAUUAAAACUAACCCCCAUCAUACGCAUGUAUGUUAUAAAAACCACAAGGAUAACCAUACGUUCAAAAAAAACCAACAACAAUUUAAGUCCUGAUACACAAUAAAGACGAGUCUACACUAAGUAAAAGUUCUUAGUGGCGUUCUCAAACAACCAUCUAUGUGAUCAAAUGUGUACAUACACACACUAGUGAACGUUCUGACGUUGGUUCCAUGUGUAGGUUCUUAGACAUUGUAAUCAUUUAUCCCUAUAGGGGAAGGAGAGGAACUAUUCGGAUUUAGUGUUCACAAUACGACGAUUAGAAUACAUCGAAGCAAAGACUUAAAUAUAACAAACACACUAACAAACUCUGACGUUUUUCGAAUUCGAAUAUAGAUGACCACUCAAACUUCUACAUUGAUCAAAAGGUAAAGUACGUCCACACAGAAUGUUAAAGCUUUUCUGACUAUUACCAUAAAAGGCCAAUUUCGAGUGACGUUUACGCUUUUUUUAUUAUCGACUAAACUCUUCCGGAGAACUCUAAAACUACUUUCCGUUGUGAUAUUUGGUGGGACUGGACUGUCAUUCACGUCAAGUCGAUGAAAACAGGGUACUACCACAUGAUUAUGUUGAACAGUAAAACUUUCUUUCUAACCUUUUAGAUAUGACGUGAGCUGCGUGUGGCGCAGGGCCCGCCGUCGACGGCGCGCUCCGAUCGAUGUCACGCCACGAGAUAAACGAGUUAUGUUUGAUCGUCACUAACGAUGUACCCUACCUGUUGUGUACGAAAACAUUUAUAGAGAUCUUAUUUUACAACUGUUUUAUUAUUAGGUCAGAUGUACGAUGAUUAAUUCAUCAUCAAUAAACUUAUCAAACAUCGUCCGUUCAUCUUGUUUAGUUCGAACCGUUAAUGUUAUAAAAAAACGUCCAAUGAUAAUCUAUAUACUUUAUUCGUACCGUAGUUCAAGUGAUUUGUUCAUUCGUACGUUUUGUUUUGGUUCAAACGUGUAGGUUUCACACAGUGCAUGAUCUCUACGGAAACUGGCUCUUCACGUUUAGUCUUAGUGCAUACUUUUCUGUGAAGGUAGUCGUGCAAACGAUAAGUUUUUUUUGUAGUGCAAACAACAUGACUGUGUGUUAGUCAAAGGUUAAUAUAGAGUUUUGGUUAGUUGUGUUCGAUCGGUGCGAUGUGUAGGGUCGAUUAACGUUGAACCGCAACAUUCGUUAUUAGCCGUUCGGAAUCGAGACGGAGUCCGGAGCCAGCUGUCUUGUCAUUUACAAAAUCAUCGAAAACUGGUUGGUUCUGCAUGAUGUGUCUUGUUUUGUUCCUUCCUCUAUGACAUCUUUCGUUUCGACGGAACGCCAAAAUUUGUUUAACGGUAGCGGAGUUCCGUUCUUGCGCACCUGUACUGAUGAUGACGUAUGUGUUAUUUGGGUCAGUUUUCCUUCGUCCGUUUAUAUGAGCUUGCUGUCAUCUAUUGAGCUCGUUGUCUCUGGCGUUCUGGAGACGUAGACGCAUGCCGCGAUCUAGGUAGAAUUGAACGCUCUUGUUCGUGUAUAGAUUUUAGCUACUUCGGCCCUAUAUGGAGCCCACGGCUCGCCUCGCAGUGGCACCCCCACGACGAUCUCAGCUAGCUCGGGCUGUCGCUUGUCUCUGCCGCCCUCCUGUGCAACUGCCUCUGCCUCGAGACAGGCGCUUCGUCUGCUACGUCCCCUCCGGUACCGCUCCUCCGUUUGCCGCCGCCGCGAACCUCAACCCGCUCCGAAGCCGAUCCGCCGCGUCCUUGCUGCUCCUCCCUGAACCGUAGUCCCGCCGCGCGACGUUCCAGGUACCGCCGCCUCACGUGACAAACUCUGUCUCUCUCAUUAGCUCUACACACUCUCUCUUUUUCCUCCUUCUUUCUCUCGUGCCCUUCUUCUCUUGUCUCUUCUUCCCACCGUGAGUAGACGACCGAGACCGUUCGACACCGACCA
rnacentral:rRNA from 1 species